rfam:Enterovibrio nigricans DSM 22720 genome assembly, contig: BP91DRAFT_scaffold00088.88
ACAAUCUCGGGCAUCGCGUUUCUCGAGACACACGCGGCACAAUGUUGAAGAAGUUGUUGUCGCAGGUAGGUAUUGGAGAAUACUUCUCCAAUAGAAGGGCAUUGAUAGAGCUGGCUGACCCAAAGGGUCGGGGCAUAUUGAGGAACCCAACA